CCUACGGGCGGCUGCAGUGGGGAAUAUUGCACAAUGGGCGCAAGCCUGAUGCAGCCAUGCCGCGUGUGUGAAGAAGGCCUUCGGGUUGUAAAGCACUUUCAGCGGGGAGGAAGGCGUUAAGGUUAAUAACCUUGUCGAUUGACGUUACCCGCAGAAGAAGCACCGGCUAACUCCGUGCCAGCAGCCGCGGUAAUACGGAGGGUGCAAGCGUUAAUCGGAAUUACUGGGCGUAAAGCGCACGCAGGCGGUCUGUCAAGUCGGAUGUGAAAUCCCCGGGCUCAACCUGGGAACUGCAUUCGAAACUGGCAGGCUAGAGUCUGGGAGAGGGGGGUAGAAUUGCAGGAGUAGCGGUGAAAUGCGAAGAGCUCUGGAGGAAUACCGGUGGCGAAGGCGGCCCCCUGGACAAAGACUGACGCUCAGGUGCGAAAGCGUGGGGAGCAAACAGGAUUAGAUACCCUUGUAGUA
rnacentral:rRNA from 1 species